ACUCCUACGGGAGGCAGCAGUGGGGAAUAUUGCACAAUGGGCGCAAGCCUGAUGCAGCCAUGCCGCGUGUGUGAAGAAGGCCUUCGGGUUGUAAAGCACUUUCAGUCGUGAGGAAGGUAGUGUAGUUAAUAGCUGCAUUAUUUGACGUUAGCGACAGAAGAAGCACCGGCUAACUCCGUGCCAGCAGCCGCGGUAAUACGGAGGGGGUUAGCGUUGUUCGGAAUUACUGGGCGUAAAGCGCACGUAGGCGGACUAUUAAGUUAGAGGUGAAAUCCCAGGGCUCAACCCUGGAACUGCCUUUAAUACUGGUAGUCUUGAGUUCGAGAGAGGUGAGUGGAAUUCCGAGUGUAGAGGUGAAAUUCGUAGAUAUUCGGAGGAACACCAGUGGCGAAGGCGGCUCACUGGCUCGAUACUGACGCUGAGGUGCGAAAGUGUGGGGAGCAAACAGGAUUAGAUACCCUGGUAGCUACG
rnacentral:rRNA from 1 species